UUUACUCCCUCUCUUUCGCCCUUUCUCUACCUUUAUGCCAUGGAAUGACACAGUAAGAAGGCUCUUGCCAGAUGCCAGCCACACAAUCUUGGACUUCCCAGCCUUCAGAACUAUGGAGUCUCACUCUGUCGCCAGGCUGGAGUGCAGUGGAGCCAUCUUGUCUCACUGCAACCUCUGUCUCCCGG
rnacentral:lncRNA from 1 species